CUGGUUUAAAAUCUCCUCCAACCUUCUAGCCAUCCUAUCCCCCAGCACUGCAGACCCUCUCCCAUUUAGGUGCAAUCCAUCACCACUAUAGAGGUUGUACCCAAUCGCAAAGUCAGCCCAGUUCUCUAAAAACCCAAAACCCUCCUUCCUGCACCAAGACUUCAGCCACGCAUUGACCUCUCUAAUCUCCCACUGCGUUUCCACUGUAGCGCGUGGCACAGGAAGUGUUUAUAGUCAUGCUGCCCAAGCCAAACAAACACCCGACGAUCUGUG